GGAGAUAUCCAGCCUAUGUCAAUAGACAGAUAGCUAAUAAAUUAGAGGAUAGAUCUGUAAUAGCUUAUUUUAUAGGAUAUCUAAAAGAAUCAAUGGGAUACUACCUCUAUUUCUAUAAGAUUACAAUAUGAUUGUGAGUUGAAAUACCAUAUUCCUAGAAAAAUAGUUUAUCCAGAAUGAUAACAGUGGGAGGUUAGUUGAGCUUGAAGAG
rnacentral:lncRNA from 1 species